GAAGGUUCCUGGCAACCGUGUCUGGAGAAAGCUUCUUGACCCCAUUUUUUAAACAGCAGAUAAUGAAGAUAUUAUACCAUUAUAUGCUCUUGAAUCUGUCUCAUUGUGACUUGGCGAAGAGGCAGUGAAUCUGCCAAAAAGAAGUAGAGCAGCUGUGAAGAUGCCAACACAAUUGAGUACUCUUUCUCUACAUAUUUCUAAAUAUGGCAAUUUAUUGGACACUUAUGAGCAUGGAAUGACAAUGGGGUCAAUUUAACCAUACGGCAAUGCUGAGACACCUUCAUUAUGACCUUUCCCUGGUAUAAGUUAUGUGAUAAUGAAUGCAUGUUUAGUCACACACUGUAGGUACAGAUGGGAAAAAAGAAAGCAUAAAAUAUAAAACAUGAUGUCCAGGUUUCAAAUAAGAAUUCUAAAAUGUUAUUUAAUUAAUGAAAUGAAAAUACUUUACUUUAGAAAAAGAAUAUUGAAUCUCUUUGAUGUAUAAAAUGUAUAUUUCAAAUUAAAAAUUCAAA
rnacentral:lncRNA from 1 species